rnacentral:rRNA from 1 species
GCUCUUCCGAUCUAGCGACGCUGAUGCGUUGUUGGGUAGGGGAGCGUUCUGUAAGCCUGUGAAGGUGGCCUGUGAGGGUUGCUGGAGGUAUCAGAAGUGCGAAUGCUGACAUAAGUAACGAUAAAGCGGGUGAAAAGCCCGCUCGCCGGAAGACCAAGGGUUCCUGUCCAACGUUAAUCGGGGCAGGGUGAGUCGACCCCUAAGGCGAGGCCGAAAGGCGUAGUCGAUGGGAAACGGGUUAAUAUUCCCGUACUUGGUGUUACUGCGAAGGGGGGACGGAGAAGGCUAUGUUGGCCGGGCGACGGUUGUCCCGGUUUAAGCGUGUAGGUGUGUGUUCCAGGUAAAUCCGGUUCACUUUAACACUGAGGCGUGAUGACGAGGCACUACGGUGCUGAAGCAACAAAUGCCCUGCUUCCAGGAAAAGCCUCUAAGCAUCAGGUAACAUCAAAUCGUACCCCAAACCGACACAGGUGGUCAGGUAGAGAAUACCAAGGCGCUUGAGAGAACUCGGGUGAAGGAACUAGGCAAAAUGGUGCCGUAACUUCGGGAGAAGGCACGCUGACACGUAGGUGAAGUGAUUUACUCAUGGAGCUGAAGUCAGUCGAAGAUACCAGCUGGCUGCAACUGUUUAUUAAAAACACAGCACUGUGCAAACACGAAAGUGGACGUAUACGGUGUGACGCCUGCCCGGUGCCGGAAGGUUAAUUGAUGGGGUCAGCGCAAGCGAAGCUCCUGAUCGAAGCCCCGGUAAACGGCGGCCGUAACUAUAACGGUCCUAAGGUAGCGAAAUUCCUUGUCGGGUAAGUUCCGACCUGCACGAAUGGCGUAAUGAUGGCCAGGCUGUCUCCACCCGAGACUCAGUGAAAUUGAACUCGCUGUGAAGAUGCAGUGUACCCGCGGCAAGACGGAAAGACCCCGUGAACCUUUACUAUAGCUUGACACUGAACAUUGAGCCUUGAUGUGUAGGAUAGGUGGGAGGCUUUGAAGCGUGGACGCCAGUCUGCGUGGAGCCGACCUUGAAAUACCACCCUUUAAUGUUUGAUGUUCUAACGUGGACCCGUAAUCCGGGUUGCGGACAGUGUCUGGUGGGUAGUUUGACUGGGGCGGUCUCCUCCUAAAGAGUAACGGAGGAGCACGAAGGUUGGCUAAUCCUGGUCGGACAUCAGGAGGUUAGUGCAAUGGCAUAAGCCAGCUUGACUGCGAGCGUGACGGCGCGAGCAGGUGCGAAAGCAGGUCAUAGUGAUCCGGUGGUUCUGAAUGGAAGGGCCAUCGCUCAACGGAUAAAAGGUACUCCGGGGAUAACAGGCUGAUACCGCCCAAGAGUUCAUAUCGACGGCGGUGUUUGGCACCUCGAUGUCGGCUCAUCACAUCCUGGGGCUGAAGUAGGUCCCAAGGGUAUGGCUGUUCGCCAUUUAAAGUGGUACGCGAGCUGGGUUUAGAACGUCGUGAGACAGUUCGGUCCCUAUCUGCCGUGGGCGCUGGAGAACUGAGGGGGGCUGCUCCUAGUACGAGAGGACCGGAGUGGACGCAUCACUGGUGUUCGGGUUGUCAUGCCAAUGGCACUGCCCGGUAGCUAAAUGCGGAAGAGAUAAGUGCUGAAAGCAUCUAAGCACGAAACUUGCCCCGAGAUGAGUUCU